rnacentral:rRNA from 1 species
UGGGGAAUAUUGGACAAUGGGCGAAAGCCUGAUCCAGCAAUACCGCGUGUGUGAUGAAGGCCUGCGGGUUGUAAAACACUUUCGUUGGGGAAGAAAUGCUCAAAGUUAAUACCUUUGAGAGUUGACGUUACCCAAAGAAGAAGCACCGGCUAACUCUGUGCCAGCAGCCGCGGUAAUACAGAGGGUGCAAGCGUUAAUCGGAGUUACUGGGCGUAAAGGGCGCGUAGGUGGAUAUUUAAGUCGGAUGUGAAAUCCCCGGGCUUAACCUGGGAAUUGCAUUCGAUACUGGAUAUCUCGAGUAUGGUAGAGGAAAGCGGAAUUCCCGGUGUAGCGGUGAAAUGCGUAGAUAUCGGGAAGAACAUCAGGGCGAAGGCGGCUUUCUGGACCAAUACUGACACUGAGGCGCGAAAGCGUGGGGAGCAAACA